rnacentral:lncRNA from 1 species
UGACCGUCCCUAGAGCAAGUGGCAAAAAAUUUAGUGGUUAGUAUCGAGAUCCAAAUUCGAAUCCUAGUUGAUUCACAUUUCAAGCAAAAUUUAUUUUUAAAUGAAAUAAACGAAACAGGUAGCAUACUACUUAUCUCUCAAAUAAAUAAAUAAAUAAAUAAAAUUGCAUAUUUAUUCCUGCAAAAUUUUAUAAUCAAAUGUAUUUGUUCGAAAUUGCAUAGUUUGUAAUUAAAUUUUU